AAUCAACGCUGGCGGCGUGCCUCAGACAUGCAAGUCGAACGAUUAAAGCUCUCUUCGGAGAGUGUAUAGAGUGGCGCACGGGUGAGUAACACGUAAGUAAUCUACCCUCGGGUGGGAAUAACAUCGGGAAACCGAUGCUAAUACCGCAUAAUGCAGCGGCUCCUAAUGGAGACAGUUGUUAAAGGAUUUAUUCGCCUGGGGAGGAGCUUGCGGCAGAUUAGCAGUUGGUAAGGUAAUGGCUUACCAAGGCUACGAUCUGUAGCCGGUCUAAGAGGACGGUCGGUCACACUGACACUGAAUAACGGGUCAGACUCCUACGGGAGGCAGCAGUCGGGAAUUUUGGGCAAUGGGCGAAAGCCUGACCCAGCAACGCCGCGUGAAGGAU
rnacentral:rRNA from 1 species